rnacentral:rRNA from 1 species
UACGGGGGGUGCAAACGUUGCUCGGAAUUAUUGGGCGUAAAGCGCACGUAGGCGGUCCCUUAAGUCGGGUGUGAAAGCCCUCGGCUUAACCGAGGAAGUGCAUUCGAAACUGGGGGACUUGAGUACUGGAGAGGAUGGCGGAAUUCCCGGUGUAGAGGUGAAAUUCGUAGAUAUCGGGAGGAACACCAGCGGCGAAGGCGGCCAUCUGGACAGAUACUGACGCUGAGGUGCGAAAGCGUGGGGAGCAAACAGG